UUGGGGAGGAGUUCCCUGGGCAAGACUUCCAGAAGCCAGGCCUUGAGGACCCCACUUGGUCUAAGCCAGGCUCAGGGAGACAGACACCAGUCCAGGUCGGGUCCUUCCCGGGGAAGGGUUGCACCAUCUUCCCGGGCCACUGACGAGGGGGAGACCCCUCAGCGCUCGAAGGAGUCAGGCUUGCAGACCCAGGGCGCGCGGGGUGGGGCGGUGGGCAGCUCCUGUGGCCUCGGAAGCCCUUCCUGCUCGCCCAGAGCGACCGGAGCAGCCUUCCCGUUCCCGCCCCCCCCCUCCCCCGGACGCAACCCGGUCUUCUGCAGGCCUCACCAGGGUGUGACCGCGCCGCUGCUCCGCAGAGCCUCGGGACCAGGUGUGUAUGGGCCUGUGGGGGCCAGCAGUCAACAUCAGAUACCUUCCUCAAGGGUUUUCUUCCUUAGGCUACUGAGAUAGCACCUAUCUCCAUGAACCCAGAGGUCACUGAUUCAGCUAGAUCAGUUGGCCAGUGAGGUCCACUGUUGGGGUCACAGACAUGCACCGUUGCACCAGGCUUUGAUGUGGGCGUUGGGAUUGCCUGG